rnacentral:rRNA from 1 species
UUUUCCGGUUGAUCCCGCCGGACCUGACUGCUAUCGGAUUGGUACUAAGCCAUGUGAGUCGUUGCAGCAAUGCAAGGCAGACGGCUCAGUAACACGUAGUCAACCUAACCUAUGGACGGGGAUAACCUCGGGAAACUGAGAAUAAUACCCGAUAGAUCAUGAUACCUGGAACGGUUUAUGGUCCAAAUGAUUUAUCGCCAUAGGAUGGGACUGCGGUCUAUCAGCUUGUUGGUGAGGUAAUGGCCCACCAAGGCUAUAACAGAUACGGGCUCUGAGAGGAGGGGCCCGGAGAUGGGUACUGAGACACGGACCCAGGUCCUAUGGGGCGCAGCAGGCGAGAAACCUUUGCAAUGUGCGAAAGCACGACAAGGUUAAUCCGAGUGAUUCCUGCUAAAGGAAUCUUUUGUUAGUCAUAAAACCACUGAUGAAUAAGGGGUGGGCAAGUUCUGGUGUCAGCCGCCGCGGUAAUACCAGCACCUCGAGUGGUCAGGAGGUUUAUUGGGCCUAAAGCAUCCGUAGCCGGCUGUUCAAGUUUCCGGUUAAAUCCACACGCUUAACGUAUGGGCUGCCGGGAAUACUGUUCAGCUAGGGAGUGGGAGAGGUAGACGGUACUCGAUAGGUAGGGGUAAAAUCCUUUGAUCUAUUGAUGACCACCUGUGGCGAAGGCGGUCUACCAGAACACGUUCGACGGUGAGGGAUGAAAGCUGGGGGAGCAAACCGGAUUAGGUACCCGGGUAGUCCCAGCUGUAAACGAUGCAGACUCGGUGAUGCAUUGGCUUAUGGCCAGUGCAGUGCCGCAGGGAAGCCGUUAAGUUUGCCGCCUGGGAAGUACGUACGCAAGUAUGAAACUUAAAGGAAUUGGCGGGGGAACACCACAAGGGUGAAGCCUGCGGUUCAAUUGGAGUCAACGCCGG